rnacentral:rRNA from 1 species
UAGGGAAUCUUCGGCAAUGGACGAAAGUCUGACCGAGCAACGCCGCGUGAGUGAAGAAGGUUUUCGGAUCGUAAAACUCUGUUGUUAGAGAAGAACAAGGACGUUAGUAACUGAACGUCCCCUGACGGUAUCUAACCAGAAAGCCACGGCUAACUACGUGCCAGCAGCCGCGGUAAUACGUAGGUGGCAAGCGUUGUCCGGAUUUAUUGGGCGUAAAGCGAGCGCAGGCGGUUUCUUAAGUCUGAUGUGAAAGCCCCCGGCUCAACCGGGGAGGGGCAUUGGAAACUGGGAGACUUGAGUGCAGGAGAGGAGAGUGGAAUUCCAUGUGUAGCGGUGAAAUGCGUAGAUAUAUGGAGGAACACCAGUGGCGAAGGCGGCUCUCUGGUCUGUAACUGACGCUGAGGCUCGAAAGCGUGGGGAGCAAACAGG